CUGUGGCUCAACCAUAGUUCGCUUUGGAAACUGUCAAACUUGAGUGCAGAAGGGGAGAGUGGAAUUCCAUGUGUAGCGGUGAAAUGCGUAGAUAUAUGGAGGAACACCGGUGGCGAAAGCGGCUCUCUGGUCUGUAACUGACGCUGAGGCUCGAAAGCGUGGGGAGCGAACAGGAUUAGAUACCCUGGUAGUCCACGCCGUAAACGAUAAGUGCUAGGUGUUGGGUCCUUUCCGGGAUUCAGUGCCGCAGCUAACGCAUUAAGCACUCCGCCUGGGGAGUACAACCGCAAGGUUGAAACUCAAAGGAAUUGACGGGGGCCCGCACAAGCGGUGGAGCAUGUGGUUUAAUUCGAAGCAACGCGAAGAACCUUACCAGGUCUUGACAUCCCGAUGCUAUUUCUAGAGAUAGGAAGUUACUUCGGUACAUCGGUGACAGGUGGUGCAUGGUUGUCGUCGGCUCGUGUCGUGAGAUGUUGGGNUAANNNNNGCAACGAGCGCAACCCCUAUUGUUAGUUGCCAUCAUUCAGUUGGGCACUCUAGCGAGACUGCCGGUAAUAAACCGGAGGAAGGUGGGGAUGACGUCAAAUCAUCAUGCCCCUUAUGACCUGGGCUACACACGUGCUACAAUGGUUGGUACAACGAGUUGCGAGUCGGUGACGGCGAGCUAAUCUCUUAAAGCCAAUCUCAGUUCGGAUUGUAGGCUGCAACUCGCCUACAUGAAGUCGGAAACGCUAGUAAUCGCGGAUCAGCACGCCGCGGUGAAUACGUUCCCGGGCCU
rnacentral:rRNA from 1 species